rnacentral:rRNA from 1 species
GACAUAGGUGGCAAGCGUUAUUCGGAAUUACUAGGCGUAAAGCGAGUGUAGGCGGGCGCUUAAGUCCGACGUUAAAUCUCCAGGCUUAACUUGGAGCUGUCGUUGGAUACUGGGCGUCUCGAGAGGGGUAGGGGGCAGUGGAAUUCCCGGUGUAGCGGUGAAAUGGGUAGAUAUCGGGAGGAACACCAUUGGCGAAAGCGGCUCACCAGGCCAUUACUGACGCUGAGCCACGAAAGCGUGGGGAGCAAACAGGAUUAGAAACCCUGGUAGU